CGGCACUACAUGUCAAAUCGUUGUUAUACGUUUGAAAUUGUUGCGCAAAAAACAAUAGCCAUCGUUUUCACGACGUACUGUUCUAAAACAGUCGCCCCAACAUUAGAAGUCCAAACACGCGUCCGUUUGGUGGCCAAACAAGCAUGUUGGCCUGAUGCCACUCAGCAGUUACAGAUGGAAACUGGCCACCAGACAACCACUGAAGGAAAUACUUCUUUGCCUUAACUGUGGAUUAAAGAAACAUACGACUGCAGACAAGAGUCCCUGUUUGGAGUAGUAAGAGCCAAGGACAGCAGCAAAAACUGUUGACAGCAGUGUUUGAAGUAAAUGGGAAAGCUGAGCCCUUCCAGAGUUACUGAAAGGCGGCGAGAGUGCAAGAUGGGCAAGAAGUACGAUGAUGAUGGGACUGACCUUCUCAUCAGGAUUACCACAGACCUGACCGUGAACACCGUCGACACCAACCUCAGGGAGACGCUGCCUAAGAUCUCAAGGCUGCUUGGUCGUGGUCUUUCUGGCACGUACUCUUCCAAGAUGAGCCGGGAAGUUUAACACUGAUGGAAUGACACCAGGUCUAAGCCGACACACUUCCACUUCCUCCUCAACCCAUAGUCUCUGGGAAACCUACAUGGAGUAAGAAAAGUAGACAGAGAAGUAAUUAAGUCUGUACACAACAUAUUAAAAAAGAAAUCAUGCUAAUAAAUUAAGUACAAAGAACCGAAUUCGCCAAUAUACUGGAGACGAGAGCUAUUUAAUUUGAUAAGUAUAACCUUGUUUAGUAACAUUUCAAUUAUUUGAGAGCAGUCCUAAAGAACUGCCUGUAAUCCCAAUCAUAAAAUGGGUUUGGAGGAAGAACAUAGAUGGUAAUCUGGAUAUACAUGAGUUAGGCUUUAGAACUACUAUUGGUAGUAUUGGUGGUAGUAAUAGCAAUGUGACUACUACUAGUAGUAAUGGUAGUACAUUAACUACUGCUGCUGAUACUGGCACUGCUACUACAACUUGUAAUACUAUUACAAAUGCUGACACUACUUCUACGACUCUAACAGCUGUUUAUACUACUACUGCUGCUUGUACUUUUAGUAUUACUACUACUGCUUGUACAACUAUACUACAGCUACUAUUAAUCGUCUGGUAUUUGGUUGUCAAGCUGCUAGCUCGCCUUAGCGUUUUGCUAGUGGCUAACUCGUUAGCUCUCAUAGACUGGAAGCUCUCAACAAGAUUUCAUAAUGAAAAAAGAGCCAAAAACUACUCUUACCUAUGAAGAGUCAUUCCAAGUUUCCUUGUCUCAAUCGUACGACGCAGUGUGUAAUUGUAUGAAGCACAGUGAGCCGACAUACUUGUUUCCGUUUUCACGCCGUCUACAUCAACGGAAUGCACUGAAACUUUUCCCCCACUAGCUUAGCCUCGCAGUAGCACGCAGCUCAAAGGGACGUGUCCUAUCUACUGAUUCAUAUCUAUGACAACAACGGUGGCUGCACAUAAGGACGCCUGACGUUGAUUAGCUGCGUAAAUACCAUUAUAUCCAGUCUAUGGUAAAUACGUAUGUGAAUCGCAUCAUUGGCUGCAGCAGCCAGUCACCGGUCACUCACUGAGUCACACUGAAAAAUAGCACAGAAUGAAUUGUUACGUGUUUAUUUUAUUUACAAUUUAGGUUGGUUUUUUUUUUUUGUGCGCAGCGCAGAUUUUCUGUGCGCGGAGACCGUGUCAGCAGUGCGCAAUUGCGCACGUGCGCAGCUUAGAGGGAACAGUGCUUGUGUGUAUGUCUGUGUAAGGGAGUGAGAGAGGGAUAAUCUAUGUGCGCACCCAUCUGUAGUGCAUAUGUCUGUGUCUGUACGUAUUCUAUGCUCUCAUGGGUUAUUAACAGUGAAACUCAUCUGUGUGUCUCUCAAAGUAAAAUAUUCUGUAAUGCAAUAUUGUUAAUAAAUGUAAUCAUAUGCAA